rnacentral:rRNA from 1 species
AUACGGAGGGGGUUAGCGUUGUUCGGAAUUACUGGGCGUAAAGCGCACGUAGGCGGACUGGAAAGUUGGGGGUGAAAUCCCGGGACUCAACCCCGGAACUGCCUCCAAAACUUCCAAUCUAGAGAUCGAGAGAGGUGAGUGGAAUUCCAAGUGUAGAGGUGAAAUUCGUAGAUAUUUGGAGGAACACCAGUGGCGAAGGCAGCUCACUGGCUCGAUACUGACGCUGAGGUGCGAAAGCGUGGGGAGCAAACAGGAUUAGAUACCCUAGUAGUCC